rnacentral:rRNA from 1 species
GGGGAACCCACUCAGCAUAAGCUGAGUAUCUUGUACUGAAUACAUAGGUGCAAGAGGCGAACCAUGGGAACUGAAACAUCUAAGUACCCUGAGUAAAAGAAAUCAACCGAGAUUCCCUUAGUAGUGGCGAGCGAACGGGGACUAGCCCUUAAGUGGCUUUGAGAUUAGCGUAACGCUCUGGAAAGUGCGGCCAUAGUGGGUGAUAGCCCUGUACGCGAAAAUCUCUUAGUCAUGAAAUCGAGUAGG